rnacentral:rRNA from 1 species
AUGAUCUCUUGGGUAGCCAUCUACCAUGUUCUUGAAGCGACAACACCAUUGUAUGUAGCCAUGAUACUAGCCUACCUAUCCAUAAAAUGGUGGAAGUUGUUCACUCCAGAGCAGUGCUCUGGGAUCAACAAGUUCGUGGCCAACUUCUCCAUCCCUCUUCUCUCUUUCCAGGUCAUCUCCACAAACAAUCCUUACGACAUGAACCUCAAGCUCAUAUUCGCAGACAUCCUACAGAAGUCGAUCGCCUUGCUGGGGUUUGCAGCCAUAUCUAGAGCAUGUUGUGCGGAGAAGUUUGAUUGGCUCAUUACAGGUUUCUCUUUGUCGACACUGCCCAAUACGCUGAUUGUCGGUAUCCCAUUGCUGAAAGGAAUGUAUGGUGAUGAAGCUGUCAAGCUGAUAAGUCAGAUAGUUGUCCUACAGAGCCUAAUUUGGUACACACUUCUUCUCUUUCUGCUUGAAUUCCGAGCCACCAAAGGAAUAGCUGCCGCACCAUCAUCUGAAAUUGUAGAUGAGGAAGAAGCAGGUACUCUAGGAGCUACACAACAGACAUACCAAGAGGGCCAGUCAAAAGGUGUAUCAGCAAGAUGUUCUAGGGCCUUCCGCUUUUUGUUGGUGAUUGGGAUGAAGUUAGUGAUGAAUCCGAACAUUUACGCAUGCCUGAUCGGUCUAAUUUGGGCACUGAUUAGCUUCAGGUGGCAAAUACAGUUACCCUUGAUCAUCAGUAACUCCAUAAGGAUACUCUCAGAUGGAGGGCUGGGAAUGGCAAUGUUCAGCCUAGGUCUUUUCACAGCUCUACAGACAAAAAUUAUAGCCUGCGGAACUAAGAAGAUGCUACUGUCACUAGGCAUCAGGUUCUUUCUAGGACCAGCCCUGAUGAUGAUCUCUUCCUAUGCUGUUGGGAUGCGUGGAAUCUUGCUCAAGGUGGCCAUUGUGCAGGCGGCAUUACCUCAAGGAGUAGUGCCAUUUGUAUUUGCGAAGGAGUAUAAUGUGCAUGCAGAUAUUCUAAGCACUGCGAUAAUUGUUGGUAUGAUGGUUGCAGUUCCUGCCACCCUAGCUUACUACUUUGUUAUCUAA